rnacentral:rRNA from 1 species
GAUGAAUGCUAGCGGGGGGCCUAACACAUGCAAGUCGAACGCUUCGGCGUGGCAGACGGGUGCGUAACACGUACUUACCUGCCCUGGAGUGGGGGAUAACAUCGGAAACGGUGAUAAUCCGCCAUAAUCCCUACGGGGAAAGAUUUAUCGCUCUAGGAGGGGGGUGCGGCCUAUUAGUUUGUUGGUGAGGUAACGGCUCACCAAGACGAUGAUGGGUAGCUGGUCUGAGAGGAUGAUCAGCCACAAUGGGACUGAGACACGGCCCAUACCCCUACGGGGGGCAGCAGUGGGGAAUAUUGCACAAUGGACGAAAGUCUGAUGCAGCCACCCCGCGUGGAGGAUGAAGCGUUACGGUGUGUAAACUCCUUUUUCUGGAGGAAGACGACUGACGGUACUCCAGGAAUAAGCGACGGCU